AGACCAUGAUGAGGACACUCUUGGAGAAGGUCUUUGAAAUGUUCCAUGCAUCGAGAAAAUGAUUCAUUGGGUCUUUGACAAAACUGGGGAAUGUCAUUCCUAAGCUU
rnacentral:snoRNA from 1 species